rnacentral:rRNA from 1 species
AUUCCCCCAGUAACUGCGAGUGAAGAGGGAAAAGCUCAAAUUUAAAAUCUGGCAGUCUUUGGCUGUCCGAGUUGUAAAUUAGAGAAGCGUUAUCCGCACUGGCCUGUGCAUAAGUCUCUUGGAAAAGGGCAUCAUAGAGGGUGACAAUCCCGUCUUUGGCACAGAUUACCAGGGCUUUUGUGAUGCGCUCUCAAUGAGUCGAGUUGUUUGGGAAUGCAGCUCUAAAUGGGUGGUAAAUUCCAUCUAAAGCUAAAUAUUGGCGAGAGACCGAUAGCGCACAAGUACCGUGAGGGAAAGAUGAAAAGAACUUUGAAAAGAGAGUUAAACAGUACGUGAAAUUGUUGAAAGGGAAACGCUUGAAGUCAGUCACAUCCUUCAGAAAUCAACCAGAUCAAUUUGGUUUGGUGCACUUUCUGUUUGGAUGGGUCAGCAUCAAUUUUGACCAUUGGAUAAAGACCUUGGGAAAGUGACAUCUCUGGAUGUGUUAUAGCCCUUGGUUCAGAUGCAGUGGUUGGGAUUGAGGAAUGCAGUACUUUCAUGUGCUCAGGAUGCUGGCAUAAUGGCUUUAAUCGACCCGUCUUGAAACACGGACCAAGGAGUCUAACAUACAUGCAAGUGUUUGAGUGGAAAACUCAGGCGCGCAAUGAAAGUGAAAGUUGAGAACCCUGUCGUGGGGUGCAUCGACGCCCGGACCUGACCUUUUGUGAUGGACCUGCGGUAGAGCAUGCAUGUUGGGACCCGAAAGAUGGUGAACUAUGCCUGAAUAGGGUGAAGCCAGAGGAAACUCUGGUGGAGGCUCGUAGCGAUUCUGACGUGCAAAUCGAUCGUCAAAUUUGGGUAUAGGGGCGAAA